rnacentral:lncRNA from 1 species
CAAGAGUCCAUCAAGCUAACCAAGAGUUCAUGUAUAUAUGAAUUAUAAAUGUUCACAGUAAAAUUUUAAGCAGAACAGCAUGAAGCUUCUUAUUUAGGUUUAGAGAAUACAUUUGCGCAGUGUGCAUGUAUGCAUGUGUAAAUAUUUAUCUCCUUUCUUUGAUUUGUGUAGAGUUGGAAAACCGCUGUAUUCUUGCAGCCUUUGCCAUAUGUGUUGGGGGAAAAGGCAGCAUGCAAACAUAUUCCAGGGGAGAUAUUUUUCAAAGUUGUGAAUAAGUCAAUUUUGUAUAUUUUAUGCCAUUUUUAGCUGAUUGGUGAUGUCAGAUCGCACUUAUUAACCCUUUAAGCUGCAGAGCUUCUCCAUUGAUGAGCAAAAUAGACAAGUUUUACUUGUCUAGCAUUAGACAAGUAAAAAAAAUGUGGGGGCAUGCUGGGGUGCAUUGUGGUUCAAUGGGUUAACUAUAGACAUUGUCAGAUUUUUUGGUUAAAAAACCCAUUAAGCUGCAGAGCUUCCCUAUUGACGAGUGAAAUCGUCUGGCAUUAGACAAGUUAAAAGAAUAAGCAAGGUGCGCUGGGUGUUGUGCAGUACAGUUGCAACAUGCAUGCACAUACAUAGGCUACCUGGAGAUAUUUGGUAUGGUGAUGUUAAGUUUCCUUGUAAGAUCCUUAAUGUUGCAUGCAUAUAUAAUAUAUUCUCAUUUUUUGUUUGUAGAGAUUUUGAAAUUCAGCAUGCUGAGAGAAUAAAGGCGUGUUCAACAUCGCAGCUAUUAGCAACCGGAUCUCUACAAGAGAUAAGUUCACUAUGGUAUAGUUGCAUAUUAAGAGGAAGUACUAUAAUCAGCACUAUUAUAUGAUUAUUAGCAGCGUAUUUUGUUUUUAAUGCUGUAUACCGCAAUGGCCUUGGCAAUGUUCCUCGAGCAUAUUCUACUGGGCAGGAUUGACAAACUCUGCCAAUCGGUGUUGAGAACUUUCUAGCACUAUUGUGAAGAAUACCAACUGUCACCAAGUGUGUAGUGGACUAUAUAGAACACAAGCUAGAACUAAGAUUAUAUGGCGAUCGAUUGAUGUAACAUAUUGUAAUAAUGAGAGAUUGAGACUGCGCAAACAGGGUUGCAUGGUGAUCGCGAUCUAAUUAAUGCUAAACUAAGUGCUUAGCAUUCCUUUCAUUAUAAUAUAUAAUACUAUCGCCCGUAUUCUAAAAGCUCACUCACACUCAAUGAGUGGAGGUUCAUUCUGAGCUUCACUUGAGUGUUAGUGCUGUUUUUAAAUAGCUGAAGGGUUAGUGUCGUACCUUACUAUGCGACUACUCAUCCUCCAGCUAUUCAAAAACAGCACUGACACUCAAGAGAAGCUCAGACUGAACCUCCACUCAUUGAGUGUGAGCAUGAGUGAGCUUUUAGAAUACGGGCGUAUACCAUGCAACUCUCUAGCCUCAGUAACAGUGUAGUCAACUGGAAUACAGACUAUAGUAACACUAUACGUACUACUGUGUACUUACUGUAAUUUUAGAUGUUACAAAAUAUAUUUUUAUAUAAAGUUCAUAAUAUUGUUUGAU